rnacentral:rRNA from 1 species
UACGGAGGGUGCGAGCGUUAUUCGGAAUCACUGGGCUUACAGGGUGCGUAGGCGGCUUGUCAAGUAGGGUGUGAAAGCCCCCGGCUCAACCGGGGAAUUGCGCCCUAAACUGGCGAGCUGGAGUGAGAUAGGGGUGUGUGGAACUUCCGGUGGAGCGGUGAAAUGUGUUGAUAUCGGAAGGAACGCCGGUGGCGAAAGCGACACACUGGAUCUUGUCUGACGCUGAGGCACGAAAGCCAGGGGAGCGAACGGG